CUCGCAAGAGCAAAGCAGGGGACCUUCGGGGCCUUGCGCUACCGGAUAUGCCCAGGUGGGAUUAGCUAGUUGGUGAGGUAAGGGCUCACCAAGGCGACGAUCCCUAGCUGGUCUGAGAGGAUGAUCAGCCACACUGGAACUGAGACACGGUCCGGACUCCUACGGGAGGCAGCAGUGGGGAAUAUUGCACAAUGGGCGCAAGCCUGAUGCAGCCAUGCCGCGUGUAUGAAGAAGGCCUUCGG
rnacentral:rRNA from 1 species